rnacentral:lncRNA from 1 species
CACUCUGCAAAAUAGCCAAUGGUGCGAUCAGGCUGACAAUAUGGCUCUUUUCCUAAAGACAUCACUUACAUAAGUCAUUAAACAUGAUGAAGUCCCUCUGGGGCACAACUAGAAGCUUCAUUCCUCUUGAUGAACAUCCAAGUGAUGGGAAGUUCUAUGCAUGCUACUGGAGGUGAAAGGUCAGGACCAUACUUGACUUUCAUCGGAGAAGCUCCUUCUCAGAGUAGGUGGACAUUAACACAAAGGCCUACAACUGGACACUAUGCAACAAGUGAAGCAUUCAGUAUUAAAUGGGAUGUUAUCCUCAAAGUCUUGCACUCAAAGCUCAAUGAUAUCUGUGGAAGAAGAGGGGGAAAGAUUUUAAGAGCCAGAGGUAAAAGAUGACUCAAAGAUGACUCAAGGAAAUUCUGAAUUUAGCGCCUCCAGAGUGUUUUGAAAACACUUCUGUUUCAACAGAGGACACUGCAAGUCUCUGGUGUCAAGUGUAAAGACCUUGCAGUGGUGUGGCAUCUGUACCAGUUCAAGGUGCCCUGUCUUUGAGAAGUGAUCUUUCAAAGCACAGCAUCAAGCGUCCAGAAUGGCCACCUCUGACAAUCAUGUCUUUAAGGUUGAGUUUGGACAGGCUGCUGGUUACAUGCUUUCCUGACAUCAAGACAAACUGCAUGACGAUGAGGAUAUUUCCAAGUGCAUCAUCUCUUCAACCAAUAUUAUGUGGGCUGGGAAGGAGCUUUACCAUGAUAACUCAGUCAUUUCCACCAGCGUGUACUGGGCUACAGAUCUGGGACUACCUUGGAGAUGAUCAAAGUCCUGCCAGGUGCCAGUCACUCCGGCUAAUGACAUCCACAAACAUCUGCACAGCAGUUCCGAGCCUACAAAGCAUGUUUCCAUAUAUCUCUCCAGUCUGUUCCUUCAUAGUCCCUUUCCAAUUUGCCACUAAAGUGCCAGGCCUUUGAAAACAAUAUAAUCAAACAUAAAAGAGAGGCUAUUUAAAGAGUAAACAGACGCCUAGUGAGAGGCCCCUGGAGCUUCCUUAGAACAAGGCUUAGUUCAUGAACAUUAGCAUUUAUUUUGGCUACUCAGACAUUUGUGUUUCCCAAGGACUCUUGGCUGUGCCUGGAAUGGGUGAGGUUGGUAGAUGAUAAGAAAAUGCUGGCUUUAUUAAAUAUUUUUAUUAUUGUGCUUUCAUAAGGGUUUGGAAAUUAAUCAUUGUACAUUCAAGUGAGAC